GUGUUAUGUGCCGGUGGGCUCGGCCUUCUUAUAAGUCUAACUCGGCAGGGGUUCGCGGGGCGACGAUGGCUAUGACGACGCCGAGAAGUGAAGAGAAAGGCAAGUUAAGAGAAGAAGAAGGCCGGUUAGGACUAUGUAAACAAACUUUGUCGAGUGCCCACGAUCUGGUACUCAACAAAGUUUUCUUUAGUUUUAAAAUAUAAUUUGUCGAGUGUUCUUGAUCUGACACUCGACAAAGCAUUCUUUGUCAAGUGCCCACUGAUAGGAACUCGACAAAGAUUGUUUUAUUUUUUUUAAAAAAAUUCGUUGCCGAGUGUCCCACGACAGACACUCGGCAAAGUAUAUUUUUAUUCUUUUAUUUUUUUACCAAACUUUUUGUGGUAUUUUUUAUAGUAUGUAGAUCUACAUGUUCAAUUUUGGCACAAUUAUCAAAGUGUUUGCUAGAGCUAUUUGAUUUAGUUUGUUUAA